CUGGCUCAGAUUGAACGCUGGCGGCAGGCCUAACACAUGCAAGUCGAGCGGUAGAGAGAAGCUUGCUUCUCUUGAGAGCGGCGGACGGGUGAGUAAUGCCUAGGAAUCUGCCUGGUAGUGGGGGAUAACGUUCGGAAACGGACGCUAAUACCGCAUACGUCCUACGGGAGAAAGCAGGGGACCUUCGGGCCUUGCGCUAUCAGAUGAGCCUAGGUCGGAUUAGCUAGUUGGUGGGGUAAUGGCUCACCAAGGCGACGAUCCGUAACUGGUCUGAGAGGAUGAUCAGUCACACUGGAACUGAGACACGGUCCAGACUCCUACGGGAGGCAGCAGUGGGGAAUAUUGGACAAUGGGCGAAAGCCUGAUCCAGCCAUGCCGCGUGUGUGAAGAAGGUCUUCGGAUUGUAAAGCACUUUAAGUUGGGAGGAAGGGUUGUAGAUUAAUACUCUGCAAUUUUGACGUUACCGACAGAAUAAGCACCGGCUAACUCUGUGCCAGCAGCCGCGGU
rnacentral:rRNA from 1 species